rnacentral:rRNA from 1 species
UGCGUAGGCGGCCUGUUAAGUCAGCGGUGAAAUUCAGGGGCUCAACCUCUGCCGUGCCGUUGAUACUGGCAAGCUGGAAUGCGGAUGCCGUGGGAGGAAUGUGUGGUGUAGCGGUGAAAUGCAUAGAUAUCACACAGAACACCGAUUGCGAAGGCAUCUCACGAAUCCGCUAUUGACGCUGAUGCACGAAAGCGUGGGGAUCAAACA